UCCGGUUUAACACCGGCAGUCUUCUCAGAGUGCCCAACUUAAUGCUGGCAACUAAGAACAAGGGUUGCGCUCGUUGCGGGACUUAACCCAACAUCUUACGACACGAGCUGACGACAGCCAUGCAGCACCUAUCUCACUGUCCCCGAAGGGAAGGCCACAUCUCUGUGGAUGUCAGUGGAUGUUAAACCCAGGUAAGGUUCUGCGCGUUGCUUCGAAUUAAACCACAUACUCCACCGCUUGUGCGGGCCCCCGUCAAUUCCUUUGAGUUUUAGUCUUGCGACCGUACUCCCCAGGCGGGAUACUUAAUGCGUGAGCUUCGGUACCCAGGAGGUUAACAUCCCGGACACCUAGUAUCCAUCGUUUACGGCGCGGACUAC
rnacentral:misc_RNA from 1 species